rnacentral:lncRNA from 1 species
AAGUGAAGGGUGUUUGUCUCCCUGGAAACCACUUGCUAAUCUGCAGGACGAUGUCUUUUUGCAGGCAAGGGAGGUGGAGGCAGCCAUCGAGGGGAUGCUCCUCCUGCUGGAAGAGUUUUGCAGCCUGAUGGACACGAUCAGGAGCGACACUUCACAGAUCUUGGAGGAGAACAUUCCGCUCCUUAAGGCCAGAGUGACAGAAAUGCGAGACAUCUAUGCCAAAGUGGACCGGCUCGAGAAACCAUCUGCAGCAGUGCCUGCGGCGGUUGAGCUGCCCACACUGUUCCGGAUGGAGGACUACUUCCCUGCAGACACCCCAGAGGUGCAGCGUCGUGGCCCCGACUGCCUCAGCCCCUGUUAG